rnacentral:rRNA from 1 species
CCUACGGGGGGCUGCAGUCGAGAAUCAUUCACAAUGGGGGAAACCCUGAUGGUGCGACGCCGCGUGGGGGAAUGAAGGUCUUCGGAUUGUAAACCCCUGUCAUGUGGGAGCAAAUUAAAAAGAUAGUACCACAAGAGGAAGAGACGGCUAACUCUGUGCCAGCAGCCGCGGUAAUACAGAGGUCCCAAGCGUUGUUCGGAAUCACUGGGCGUAAAGCGUGCGUAGGCUGUUUCGUAAGUCGUGUGUGAAAGGCGCGGGCUCAACCCGCGGACGGCACAUGAUACUGCGAGACUAGAGUAAGGGAGGGGGAAGCGGAAUUCUCGGUGUAGCAGUGAAAUGCGUAGAUAUCGAGAGGAACACUCGUGGCGAAGGCGGGUUCCUGGACAUUAACUGACGCUGAGGCACGAAGGCCAGGGGAGCGAAAGGGAUUAGAUACCCCGGUAGUC